UACGUAGGCAGCGAGCGUUGUUCGGAAUUACUGGGCGUAAAGAGUGUGUAGGCGGUGUUCCCAGUUUGUUGUGAAAUCUCCCGGCUUAACUGGGAGGGUGCAGCGGAAACUAGAAUGCUAGAGGGUGGGAGAGGUAAGCGGAAUUCCUGGUGUAGCGGUGAAAUGCGUAGAUAUCAGGAGGAACACCUGUGGUGUAGACAGCUUACUGGACCACUUCUGACGCUGAGACACGAAAGCGUGGGUAGCAAACAGG
rnacentral:rRNA from 1 species